rnacentral:rRNA from 1 species
GACGAACGCUGGCGGCGUGCUUAACACAUGCAAGUCGAACGGAAAGGCCCUGCUUUUGUGGGGUGCUCGAGUGGCGAACGGGUGAGUAACACGUGAGUAACCUGCCCUUGACUUUGGGAUAACUUCAGGAAACUGGGGCUAAUACCGGAUAGGAGCUCCUGCUGCAUGGUGGGGGUUGGAAAGUUUCGGCGGUUGGGGAUGGACUCGCGGGUUAUCAGCUUGUUGGUGGGGUAGUGGUUUACCAAGGCUUUGACGGGUAGCCGGCCUGAGAGGGUGACCGGCGACAUGGGGACUGAGGUACGGCCCAGACUCCUACGGGAGGCAGCAGUGGGGAGUAUUGCACAAUGGGCGGAAGCCUGAUGCAGCAACGCCGCGUGCGGGAUGACGGCCUUCGGGGUGUAAACCGCUUUCGCCUGUGACGAAGCGUGAGUGACGGUAAUGGGUAAAGAAGCACCGGCUAACUACGUG